rnacentral:ncRNA from 1 species
UAACGAGAUUAGGGGUGUUCUUAAAGCUAACCAUGCUUUUAAGGACUGAGAAAUACCCAUUGAACCUGUUCGGGUAAUGCCGUCGAAGGGAUAAUGU